GACGAACCGUGCGAACGUUGUUCGGAAUCACUGGGCUUGAAAGGGCGCGUAGGCGGCCCGCCGCGUCCGGGGUGAAAUCCUCCCGCUCAACGGGAGAACGGCCUCGGAUACGGGCGGGCUGGAGGCGGGUAGGGGCAGGCGGAACUGUGGGUGGAGCGGUGAAAUGCGUUGAAUAUCAUCAGGAACACCGGAGGCGAAGGCGGCUCACUGGGUCGUU
rnacentral:rRNA from 1 species